ACACAGCGCUCUGGAGAGAUCCGGCCACCCGUCGAGCGGUGCGCCCGGACGCCGAAGGUGCAAACCCGCCAUUUUCCAUAUGCGCGGGGCAACUCUCAGGCAAAAGGACAGAGGGGCGGAA
rnacentral:ncRNA from 2 species